rnacentral:rRNA from 1 species
UGGGGAAUAUUGCACAAUGAGGGAACUCUGAUGCAGCGACGCCGCGUGAACGAAGAAGGCUUUCGAGUCGUAAAGUUCUUUUAUAUGGGAAGAUAAUGACGGUACCAUAAGAAAAAGCCCCGGCUAACUACGUGCCAGCAGCCGCGGUAAUACGUAGGGGGCUAGCGUUGUCCGGAAUCACUGGGCGUAAAGGGUUCGCAGGCGGAAAUGCAAGUCAGGUGUAAAAGGCAGUAGCUUAACUACUGUAAGCAUUUGAAACUGCAUAUCUUGAGAAGAGUAGAGGUAAGUGGAAUUUUUAGUGUAGCGGUGAAAUGCGUAGAUAUUAAAAAGAAUACCGGUGGCGAAGGCGACUUACUGGGCUCAUUCUGACGCUGAGGAACGAAAGCGUGGGUAGCAAACAGG